CGGCCUCGGCUCAGGCGAGACAACCCGCUGAACUUAAGCGUAUCAGUAAGCGGAGGAAAAGAAACUAACCAGGAUUCCCCUAGUAGCGGCGAGCGAAGAGGGAAGAGCCCAUCGCCGAAUCCCCUGUUUCCCCGAUAACGGGUGGGGGACAUGUGGCGUAUAGAAGAACGUCUCCGGUCACGGCGUGCGGCCCGAUGGUCAAAGUCGUUAACGAAAUUUGCCCCCACUCCCAGAGAUGGUGUGAGGCCCGUGUAUCGGCCAUCGGCCCCGCCGGCGUGCCGUUCUUCUCGGAGUCGGGUUGUUUGGGAAUGCAGCCCAAAGUUGGGUGGUAAACUCCAUCUAAGGCUAAAUACUGGCACGAGACCGAUAGCGAACAAGUACCGUGAGGGAAAGUUGAAACCAGAACUUUGAAGAGAGAGUUCAAGAGAACGUGAAACCGUUAAGAGGAAAACGCAUGGGCGCCGUGUAGUCCACCCCUCGGAAGAGUCAACCUUGCCGCUCGCUCUCCACGUCGGCUCGUCCGCGUGUCUUCCUCGGGGCUCGGGUCAGGUCUCAUCCUUUCACCCUUCUGCUCGCUGUGGGUGUCCACGGAGGGGUGAGGCCACCGACCUGGGUCCGUCGGAGGUAGGCCGCGGUCCCGGCGCGCCGAGGCAGCGGUCGGGCGCAUUUCUUCCGAGUCGUGGUGCGCCGCGACCGGCUCUGGUUCGGCUUGGAAGGGUUCGGGGGCGAAGGUGGCCGAGCGGGUUUUGGGGGGGGGAGAGAAUGUUUUCUUUUUCCCCUCUCCCCCGUCUUUGUCGGCUUUACAGCGCCCUCCCGCUCUCACUUCGCCGAUUACCGGGGCCGAGGAGCCUGGGAGAUGAUUAGUUAGAUUUCAGCCCGACCCCGUGUCUUGCUCUCAAUCCACGUGGGCGAGAUGCGGGAGGGGGGUCCCUUCGGCCUCCGGCGCGGCUGUCGACUGGGCUCGGACUGUCCACAGUCCCCGUCCGACUGCGCCGCGCCGCUGGGCUGAGGUGAGGCCUCAGAGGGUUCAUUUGGAAAGCCCGGGGUCUGCGGCGAAACGGUUUCCCAUGCGACCCGUCUUGAAACACGGACCAAGGAGUCUAACGCGUGCGCGAGUCAAAGGGCUCGUACGAAACCCCACGGCGCAAUGAAAGUAAGUUUUUUUUGGUGGGAUCCCCCCCCUCCGGGGCUCGGGGGCGCACCACCGGCCCGUCUGCCCCCUUUUUGUCCGCCGCGGGGGGUGAUGGAGCUUGAGCGCACGCGGCAGUACCCGAAAGAUGGUGAACUAUGCCUGAGCAGGGUGAAGCCGGGGGAAACUCCGGUGGAGGCCCGAAGCGGUCCUGACGUGCAAAUCGGUCGUAAGACUUGGGUAUAGGGGCGAAAGACUAAUCGAACCAUCUAGUAGCUGGUUCCCUCCGAAGUUUCCCUCAGGAUAGCUGGCGCUCGUGACACAGUUUUAUCCGGUAAAGCAAUGAUGUGAGGCGCUUGGGGCCGAAACGGACCUCACCCUACCCGUCAAACUUUAAAUGGGUAAGAAGCCCGGCUCGCUGGCGUGGAGCCCGGGACGUGAAUGUGAGUCGCCUAGUGGGCCACUUUUGGUAAGCAGAACUGGCGCUGCGGGAUGAACCGAACGCUUGGGUUAAGGCGCCCGACGCCGACGCUCAUCAGACCCCAUGAAAGGUGUUGGUCGAUAUAGACAUCAGGACGGUGGCCACGGAAGUCGGAAUCCGCUAAGGAGUGUGUAACAACUCACCUGCCGAAUUGACCAGCCCUGAAAAUGGAUGGCGCUGGAGCGUCGGGCCCAUACCCGGCCGUCGCUGGCAAGUGGAAGUUACGCCGCGACGAGUAGGAGGGCCGCCGCGGUGGCAGGGAAGUGCGGGCGUGGGCUCGUGUGGAGCCGCCGCGGGUGCAGAUCUUGGUGGUAGUAGCAAAUAUUCAGAUGAGAGCUUUGAAGGCCGAAGUGGAGAAGGGUUCCGUGUGAACAGCAGUUGGACGCGGGUUAGUCGGUCCUAAGGGAUAGGCGAACGCCGUUCGGAUAGGCUGGGCGAUGGCCUCCUUCGCCCCAGUUCGACCGAAAGGGAGUCAGGCCAAGAUCCCUGAACCCGGAGGUGCGGAGAACGGCGCCGAAAGGUGCCCGCAGCGGUAACGCAAACGAACCUGGAGAUGCCGGCGGGAGCACCGGGGAGAGUUCUCUUUUCUUGAUCAAGGGCAGGGCGCCCUGGAAUGGGUUCACCCCGAGAUAGGGGCCUGCGCCCUGGAAAGCGCGGUCGUAAUGGGCCGUGUUCGGUCAGCUCUCGCCGGCCCUUGAAAAUCCGGGGGAGGCAGUGUAAAUCUCGCGCCGGGCCGUACCGAUAUCCGCAUCAGGUCUCCAAGGUGAACAGCCUCUGGCAUGUUGGAACAAUGUAGGUAAGGGAAGUCGGCAAGUUAGAUCCGUAACUUCGGGAUAAGGAUUGGCUCUAAGGGCUGGGUCGGUCGGGCCCCGUUUUGAAGCGAGGCAGCGGUCCGUCGACGGAACGGGCGGGGGGGGUUUGUUUCGGCUUUUCCUCAGGCCCCCCCCUCCAGCAAUACCCCGGAAAAAUAAGUCCCUGAUCUCGUACGAGCGUUUCCCCCCCCUUCCAUGCACCGGCUCUUUGGCACCAGGCUCGGCCAUGCAGGAGCGCCGCUCCACCCCCUCCUCCGCCCAACAUGAAGGUUCGUCUCCCCCAAAGGGCUUUCGUCCGAGGGGGUUGUCGGGCCGUCCGUGGGCCGUCAUCGCGGGCUUUUCGUUGCCGAUUCGCUCAUGCCGCCCGAAUUCGCUCACCGCUCCUUAUUGUAUUUAUUUAUUUAUCCCCGGUCCGCCGGGAGAAGGCCGGUGGGAUGAGCCUGUGUGCGGCGUGGGUAGUCUCCGGCGUUCGUCUGCAAGCUGGGUGAUGGCACGCGGAUGGCUCUUCGCCCAUCGGUGCGAAAUAAGCCCUGGUUCUCGGGGGAGGCCACGGGAGCGUUGGAGAGCGGGCCAAAGGGAGGCCGUGCCGUAAGACGUGGCGAGCCCUCGUUAGGUUUAGCAGGUGGGCCGGUGUAUAGUAGGGGGUUGGAAAGUUGCUCUGGUCGGGGUCGGGUCUUUGACCGGGGUAUGGGCUGGGGGAAGAGCUGGUCUUGCCCCCCUACCCGCGGAGUGCGGCGUGGACCCGCCUGGCGGACUUACGGGAGCGCGGGCCCUGGGGACUUUUUCGGUUCUCUCCCGGGGAAGCUUUAGCCACACAUGAAUCGUGGCGCAGGGGCGACUCCGGUUUGGAGCCGAGGGUCCCCGGGGCCUUCCGACUGGCGUGUAACAGCUGACUUGGAACUGGCACGGACAAGGGGAAUCCGACUGUUUAAUUAAAACAAAGCAUCGUGACGGUUCUAGCGGGAUGUUGACACGAUGUGAUUUCUGCCCAGUGCUCUGAAUGUCAAAGUGAAGAAAUUCAACCAAGCGCGGGUAAACGGCGGGAGUAACUAUGACUACUGAUUAGAGGCCGGAUAUGGGCGAUCCGCUUCUAUGGUCGUAGUGAGCAACCACAUCGUGGCCCCCACCUCCUCGUGGUAACUCCCGGGCAACGCCCUGAACUCCAGGGUGGCAGAGAGGGGCAGCCCAUCGGUUUCGGAGGGCGGUCGAGUAGGUCCCGAAGGGCGUUCGUGUAGGUUUCGGAGAGCGAUCGAGGCCUGUCAGGCUUGGCUGGUGGAUGAACUUUGGCCUGGACACCUCGCGUGCCGACCGCGUUACGCGCGCUCCUGUGGACAGGGCGGGCGCGGAGGCAUGGGGGGUGGAAGGGUAUGGCGAAACCAUGGGCCAGGCCUGGCUGCCAUCCAAACGGCAGGUGUCUAGGUUCCAGCAGGGCAUCCGAAUGGGUUCCGGAGGGCGAUCGAGGCCUGUCGGGCUCGGCUGGUGGAAGAACCUUGGCCUGGACACUUCGCGUGCUGACCGCGCUACGUGCGUUCCAAUGGGCAGGGCGGGCGCGGAGGCAUGGGGGGUGGAGGGUUAUGGAGAGACCAUGGGCCGGGCCCGGCGGCCAUCCAAAACGGCACUUAUUUAGGUUCCAGCAGGGCGUCCGAAUAGGUUCCGGAGGGCGAACAAGGCCAGUCAGGCUUAGCUGAUGGAUGAACUUUGGCCUGGACACUUCGCAUGCCGACCGCGUUACGUGCGUUCCUGUGGACAGGGCGGGCGCGGAGGCAUGGGGGGUGGAAGGGUCAUGGCGAAACCAUGGGCUGAUGCCUGGCUGCCAACCAAACGGCACUUGUUUAGGUUCCAGCAGGGCGUCCGAAUAGGUUCCGGAGGGCGAUCGAGGCCUGUCAGGCUUGGCUGAUGGAUGAACUUUGGCCUGGACACUUCGCGUGCCGACCGCGUUACGCGCGCUCCUGUGGACAGGGCGGGCGCGGAGGCAUGGGGGGUGAAAGGGUCAUGGCGAAACCAUGGGCCGGGCCUGGCUGCCAUCUCAUGCAUGUUGGUGUAGGUUCAAGUGUGCGCGGACCAACAUGCAAUCUGUCUCUGUCAUGUUGGAAUUUGUGGAGUGGUCAUGCUGGACCCUGGCGUUCGGGGAGGGGACUGGCUCGUGCUUCCUAUGUCAUGCCCCGGGGCCCUCUCCUCGGAGCUAGUACCGCAGGGUGAAUGAUAGCUCGUCCUUGCAGAGGGGCACCUUCUAGUCAACCUCCUAUGUUGGUGCUCUGGGCCCAGACAGAGCUCUGACCCGAACCCCAGACCAGAAACGAGUCCAUUGCUCGGCAAGGACUUGGACCACUCCACUGUCCAGCGAAACGCGUGCUCUCAUGGGUUAAGAGCACACCGCGGAUCUGUAUUCGCAUACUCACGGUAGGCCGAGGGCAAAUCAAGAUCAAGUGAGUUUGGUGUACUGGCAGAGGGGUCAGUGCAUGGCCGGGGUACCCCUAUGGGUGCUUUCGGCGGGACAGAGGGUGGCGCCGGUUUAUAUCGGCGCUUCGCCUUAGUUCACGGUGUUGCGGUUGGCAGGUGGGGUGUGCUGGCUUAUGGG
ensembl:rRNA Eukaryotic large subunit ribosomal RNA